CAAAGUGUAGCUUAUCCUUAAAGCAUCCGGCCUACACCCAGAAGAUUUCACAACACGUGACCGCUUUG
rnacentral:tRNA from 1 species